GGAGCCGUUGGGUCGGUUCCUGCUAUUCCGGCGCCUCCACUCCGUCCCCCGCGGGUCUGCUCUGUGUGCCAUGGACGGCAUUGUCCCAGAUAUAGCCGUUGGUACAAAGCGGGGAUCUGACGAGCUUUUCUCUACUUGUGUCACUAACGGACCGUUUAUCAUGAGCAGCAACUCGGCCUCUGCAGCAAACGGAAAUGACAGCAAGAAGUUCAAAGGUGACAGCAGAAGCGCCGGCGUCCCCUCUAGAGUGAUCCACAUCCGGAAGCUCCCCAUCGACGUCACAGAAGGGGAAGUCAUCUCCCUGGGGCUGCCCUUUGGGAAGGUCACCAACCUCCUGAUGCUGAAGGGGAAAAACCAGGCCUUCAUCGAGAUGAACACGGAGGAGGCUGCCAACACCAUGGUCAACUACUACACCUCGGUGACACCCGUGCUGCGCGGCCAGCCCAUCUACAUCCAGUUCUCCAACCACAAGGAGCUGAAGACCGACAGCUCCCCCAACCAGGCGCGGGCCCAGGCGGCCCUGCAGGCUGUGAACUCGGUCCAGUCGGGGAACCUGGCCUUGGCUGCCUCGGCGGCGGCCGUGGACGCAGGGAUGGCGAUGGCGGGGCAGAGCCCCGUGCUCAGGAUCAUCGUGGAGAACCUCUUCUACCCUGUGACCCUGGAUGUGCUGCACCAGAUUUUCUCCAAGUUUGGCACAGUGUUGAAAAUUAUCACCUUCACCAAGAACAACCAGUUCCAGGCCCUGCUGCAGUAUGCGGACCCCGUGAGCGCCCAGCACGCCAAGCUGGUGAGUGGGGCUCCCAGGACGGCGCCCGCCCUGGCCCUGGCCCUGGCCCAGCCACGUCUCACGUUCCCUCUCCCCUCAGUCGCUGGACGGGCAGAACAUCUACAACGCCUGCUGCACGCUGCGCAUCGACUUUUCCAAGCUCACCAGCCUCAACGUCAAGUACAACAAUGACAAGAGCCGCGACUACACGCGCCCAGACCUGCCCUCCGGAGACAGCCAGCCCUCGCUGGACCAGACCAUGGCCGCGGCCUUCGGUAAGAGGCUGCCCGACGCGGCGCCAGUGUGCAGAGUGGUCUGUUAGGGCCGCUCAGUUCGGAGUCCCAGCGGCACGGGCCCGGCCCUGCACCAGGGUGAUGCGCCUGCCGCUCUCUGCACGGCCAGCACAGCACGGUCCGGCGCCCCCCACGUCGGGACCACGGCCCCCCCCCCCCCGGAGCGGCGGAUCUGCCCGCGAAGGCUCUGUCGGGGCCGCCCGCCAGCCGGGUUGGGGCCCAUCCCGCAGCACAGCGCCCGCUCGCGGUGGAGGUUGUGGGUGCGAUGAUUAGUGUCUCAUUUAUUUCUAGGUGCACCUGGUAUAAUCUCAGCCUCUCCGUAUGCAGGAGCUGGUUUCCCUCCCACCUUUGCCAUUCCUCAAGCUGCAGGUAUUCAAACGCUUGGUCUUGGUUCCCCAGCGACUGCAUGCCCACACCACCUUCCCAGGCAGCUCCGCAUCCACGGCGGCAGCCUGGGCGGACUGGGCACUCGAGUGCCAGGUCAGGGGCCCUUCCCGGGAGAGGGGACGCCACGUCCACAGAGCAGGGCAGUGGUAGGACAGGGCUGCGGAGGCCCACGCGUGGACGGCGCCAGCCAGAAGCCACUAACCGCACAGUCUUUGUGGUCUGGUUCCCUUCAAGCACCUCCGGGCGAGCGCGAGGACCGCCAGUGGUUGGAGGGAUGUGUCCCUAGUAGUUGAAUUUGAGUGGCCUGGUAAGCGCGUGGCCCGAGGCUGAGGAGCAUGACCGGCGGCGGGACGUGUGUGCGUGGCCGUCCUCCUGCUUCCCUUCUGGGACCGGGGCCCGGCCGCCCGAGUGCUGGCCGUGGACGGAGCAGCGCCGCCCCGCGGCCGCCUUGUCUGCAUGGAGGCGUGGGCACGCAUGCGCGGUGGUCCCGGGACAGGCCCUGCUUGCCGAGGGCCCCGUGUCUGUGCUGGCGGAGCCGGAGCUUUUCUGUGCUGUGGGCGCAUGCAGAGGAGUCCAGGCCCGGCACGGCCCGUGCUGUGAGGAGAGGCGGGCGCUGGUGCAGGAGCCAGCGGGUGGCUGUGCGGGGGUCGGGCGACCCCACAGGCACCCGGGGUAGGGCCAGAGCCAGGGCCGCCUCCCGCGCGGCUCGGCUCCUCGGUGCAUGAGGACGGGGAGCGUCGGCCUCUCCCACUCUGCGGUGGAGUGGGGGCGCCGCUGCUCAUGUCACCUCCUACCUUUCCAGGCCUUUCCGUUCCCAACGUCCAUGGAGCCCUGGCCCCCCUGGCCAUCCCCUCGGCGGCGGCAGCAGCUGCAGCAGCAGGCCGGAUCGCCAUCCCGGGCCUGGCGGGGGCGGGAAAUUCUGUAUUGCUGGUCAGCAACCUCAACCCAGAGGUACGUGGGCUUUUCCUCCGCGCCGUUCCUCCAGGAAGAGCGAGCAGGGGAUGUUGUGCUCGGUCUUGGGUCCCGGAGCAGCGCCGCCCCUCGCUGUGUCUGCGCCUCUGCCCCGGCAGCCCCUCUGCCGCAGCGCUGAGACCUCUUCUUCCAAGAUGGCUUGAGUUUUUCUGUUUUCCUGAAUUCGCAUCUUGGUUUGCGUUUUCACUUCCAUGAUAUGCACAAUGAAUUAUUUUUUUGUUACCCAAAGGCAAUCUAAAAGUUACUGGAGCUGAGCAGGGCGUGCAGUUCAGAGCCCCAGCAGGCCGCCCUGCCGGUCAGCGGGACACAUAGGGUUAGCGCGGCAGGGUGUGGGCAGCCCCUGUGGCACGAGAGCCUGUUACUUAACUGGUGGAUCUGUUAUUUCUCAGAAUGGUUAAGUUCCCCUCGGGGAGAGCUUGGGUGAAAUAAGAGGCUCAAAAUAUGUAACUCUUGAUGGAUGGGAUCCCUGGAAUGAGCAUUUCAGGCUGUUCUGUUUCCCGGCAACUCCUGUGACUUCCUCAAGGCGGUGCCCAGCCUGGCCCUCCCUCGCGGGGGCCCAGGACGCACUCCCUGCCUCUGCCUCUUACCACGAGCCGGGUGCUGUCCCUCCCGCUCCUCCUGAGCUAGGGGACCCACAGCGAGGCCGUGCACUAACAGACUCGAUCUCCCUUCACGCCUGUAAUCGUCCUUAGAGACUGACUUGUGCCACAGCCGCGGGAGACAGCGCUGCUGCAGGGCUUGGCUGAGGUGGCCGCGAGCGGAGCUGCACCCGCGCUCCUGGGGGGCGUGGUUGGGAUCGGCUUCUGGGAGCCCCUCCAGCAGCGCUGUCUCUGCCGGCAUGUGAGUGAAGGUGCUUUUCUUACUGUGUGCCCCUCGAGGUAAACCUGUAACUGGAAUGUGUGUGGAGUGUGACUGAUAGAACACUACCUGAUUUUCUUAUGUAUUUACUGACCUGUGUUUUUUUGCUACUUUUUUUUCUUUUCUCCCCUUCCCCUUUCCCAAUUUUUUUUCUUGCCCUGAUCCGGAAUUUCUUUGCCAACUGACUGCACGGUACUUCUGCUUCCUGUUGUUGCUUGAAACAAAACAAAAACAUAAACAAAUAAAAAACAAAAAUUCCCCCUCAAACCCUGCUCUCCGGAAACCAACCUGCCCUUGAAUAUUAACAUCCUGACAACUUCAUCAUCCAUCAACCACUGCACGCCUGCGGGGACUGUCUUCCUCGUGUGGACGAUUGGCAACUCGCCCCCCUUGACCUCUCCCUCUCCCCUGUCCCUCCGCUGCCUUGCUCUGCUGUCUCUAAAGAGAGUCACACCCCAAAGCCUCUUUAUUCUUUUCGGCGUCUACGGCGACGUGCAGCGCGUGAAGAUCCUGUUCAAUAAGAAGGAGAACGCUCUGGUGCAGAUGGCGGACGGCAACCAGGCCCAGCUGGCUAUGAGCCACCUGAACGGGCACAAGCUGCACGGGAAGCCCAUCCGCAUCACGCUCUCAAAGCACCAGAACGUGCAGCUGCCCCGCGAGGGCCAGGAGGACCAGGGCCUGACCAAGGACUAUGGCAACUCACCCCUGCACCGCUUCAAGAAGCCGGGCUCCAAGAACUUCCAGAACAUAUUCCCGCCCUCGGCCACACUGCACCUCUCCAACAUCCCGCCCUCAGUCUCCGAGGAGGAUCUCAAGGUCCUGUUUUCCAGCAAUGGGGGCGUCGUCAAAGGAUUCAAGUUCUUCCAGUGAGUAUGAGGUGGGCUGUGCCUGGCUCUCCACGGGCUGCCCUGCGGCCGGCCCUGACCCCCUGUCUUGCAGGAAGGACCGCAAGAUGGCGCUGAUCCAGAUGGGCUCCGUGGAGGAGGCGGUCCAGGCCCUCAUUGACCUGCACAACCACGACCUCGGGGAGAACCACCACCUGCGGGUCUCCUUCUCCAAGUCCACCAUCUAGGGGCACAGGCCCCCAACGGCCGGGCCCCCUGGCGACAACUUCCAUCAUUCCAGAGAAAAGCCACUUUAAAAAGCAGCUGAAGUGACCUUAACAGACCAGAGAUUUUAUUUUUUUAAAGAGAAAUCAGUUUACCUGUUUUUAAAAAAAUUAAAUCUAGUUCACCUUGCUAACCCUGCAGUGACGGGGACAGCUCAGGCUCUUGGUGACUGUGGCAGCGGGAGUUCCCGGCCCUCCACACCCGGGGCCAGACCCUCGGGCCUUGCCUUGGUGGGGCCUGUCGGGCGUGGGGCCUGCAGGUGGGCGCCCCGACCACGACUUGGCUUCCUUGUGCCUUAAAAAUCCUGCCUUCCUGCAGCCACACCUCCCCCCCCCCCCGGGGUGUCCUGGGGACCCGAGGGGUGGGGGUCGCACCAGAGAGAGGUAGGGGGCCUGGCCGGCUCCUGCAGGAUCAUGGAGUUGGGGUGCG
rnacentral:sRNA from 1 species